rnacentral:rRNA from 1 species
UACAGAGGGUGCGAGCGUUAAUCGGAAUUACUGGGCGUAAAGCGCGCGUAGGCGGUUUGGCAAGUCGGGUGUGAAAACUCCGGGCUCAACUCGGAGACGCCACUCGAUACUGCCAUGACUCGAGUCCGGUAGGGGAGUGCGGAAUUCCUGGUGUAGCGGUGAAAUGCGUAGAUAUCUGGAGGAACACCGGUGGCGAAGGCGACGUCCUGGACCGGCAUUGACGCUGAGGCGCGAAAGCUAGGGGAGCAAACAGG